UUUUGAAAGUUCAAUUUUCUUAUCCUUUGAUAUGAAAGAAUCUCUUCUUGAUGGCUUGUAAUGAAAGUAACAAUAUCUGAUUUCACCGUUACGAAAGAGAACUUGUUUGUUCAACUUAAACACAUUUUGUCGCUAAUGCAAAUGUUUUUUAAUUUCUGGGGCCAAAAGAAAAUGGUGCGCAUGUUAAAAGUGUUUUAGUUUCAAAAUUGAGGCUACUUGAUUCAUAGUUUUGAAUAGUAAAAGUUUAUAAUAUUUUGCUAUAAAAGUGAGUAUGUUGAUUUAUUGUUUUAAAAUAAAUGUAUUUGAUCUUUUAAAUUAUUGUCCCUUGGCACCUAAGUAAAUGCUCCUUCGGCUUAGUGGAGCAAAAUAAAACUGCUUUAGUUCAUGUGGUUGUCCCCUGUAAAUUGUUUGUUGGUCGAGGAAUAUGGAUGUCUUGGUUCAUGAUUUCAAAAGUUCAUCUCAUCUCGUUCGUUGUGAAAUAAUAGUUUUUCAGUAUCCCAUAUUGGAAGUAUGUUACUCUCGGAACUGAGAAUGGAUCAAUUUAUUAUCCUUUGAUAUGAAAGAAUCUCUUCUUGAUGGCUUGUAAUGAAAGUAACAAUAUCUGAUUUCACCGUUACGAAAGAGAACUUGUUUGUUCAACUUAAACAUAUUUUGUAGCUAAUGCAAAUGUUUUUUAAUUUCUGGGGCCAAAAGAAAAUGGUGCGCAUGUUAAAAGUGUUUUAGUUUCAAAAUUGAGGCUACUUGAUUCAUAGUUUUGAAUAGUAAAAGUUUAUAAUAUUUUGCUAUAAAAGUGAGUAUGUUGAUUUAUUGUUUUAAAAUAAAUGUAUUUGAUCUUUUAAAUUAUUGUCCCUUGGCACCUAAGUAAACGCUCCUUUGGCUUAGUGGAGCAAAAUAAAACUGCUUUAGUUCAUGUGGUUAUCCCCUGUAAAUUGUUUGUUGGUCAAGGAAUAUGGAUGUCUUGGUUCAUGAUUUCAAAAGUUCUAGUCUCAUCUCGUUCGCUGUGAAAUAAUAGUUUNNN
rnacentral:lncRNA from 1 species